CAUGGCCCAUGAGUGCCAAAGAAAAAUUUCAUGGAAGAAGAUCUUAUAAUUUGGCAUUGGACCAUGGAAUAGGCAUUGAGAACCAUCAUUGGUGUGACAAUCCUUGAAAUGGUUAUCAUGUCUCACUUGUAAGCUAAAGAUUCAUAAUGUAAGGCAUUUGUGGUGGUUUGGGGUACUUAUGCAGCUAAUUUCUGCACACUUAUCCCGCACAACCACAAAUAUAAAUGAUAACACACCUAUAAACAUAAGCAUAAAUGCACCUAACCUAUUUAAUUACCCACACAUCUUAUCUAAGCAUCUUAUCUAAGCAUCAUUGUAGUCAUAGUUACUCUAAAGACACAAUGUGAUUUACUCCCAUUGCUUUCCAUGUCAAAGUGAAGAAAUUCAACCAAGCACGGGUAGACAAUGAGAGUAACUAUGACUCUCUUAAGGUAGCCAUAUGCAUCAUCAUAUAAUUAGUGAAGCGUAUGAAUGGAUCAUUAACGAUAUUCCACACUAUCCCUAGCUACUAUAUUCUAGUGAAACCACAUCCAAGGGAAUGGCCUUGCGAUAAUUAGCGGGGAAAGAAGACCAUGUUGAGCUUGACUCUAGUCCUAACCCAUUCAUAGUUUUAGAAAAUUAGGGCAUAGUUUGGGUAAAUUAGUCCAUAACAUUUGUCUUUAGGAUUCAAAUUGAUGAUGGAAAAAAGUGGCCAAUGUGUGAGUCAAAUUUGAGUCUGUAAACCCUCCCAUAUCGUUAAGGAAUGUGAAUAAUCUAUCUACGAUCAUGAUGGUAUAAAAAUGAAUGAGAUUCUCUUGGU
rnacentral:ncRNA from 1 species